rnacentral:rRNA from 1 species
GAUGAACGCUGGCGGCGUGCCUAAUACAUGCAAGUCGAGCGAACAGACGAGGAGCUUGCUCCUCUGACGUUAGCGGCGGACGGGUGAGUAACGCGUGGAUAACCUCCCUAUAAGACUGGGAUAACUUCGGGAAACCGGAGCUAAUACCGGAUAAUCUAUUGAACCGCAUGGUUCAAUAGUGAAAGACGGUUUUGCUGUCACUUAUAGAUGGAUCCGCGCCGCAUUAGCUAGUUGGUAAGGUAACGGCUUACCAAGGCAACGAUGCGUAGCCGACCUGAGGGGGUGAUCGGCCACACUGGAACUGAGACACGGUCCAGACUCCUACGGGAGGCAGCAGUAGGGAAUCGGCCGCAAUGGGCGAAAGCCUGACGGAGCAACGCCGCGUGAGUGAUGAAGGUCUUCGGAUCGUAAAACUCUGUUAUUAGGGAAGAACAAAUGUGUAAGUAACUAUGCACGUCUUGACGGUACCUAAUCAGAAAGCCACGGCUAACUACGUG